GACGAACGCUGGCGGCGUGCCUAAUACAUGCAAGUCGAGCGAAGUUUUUCUGGUGCUUGCACUAGAAAAGCUUAGCGGCGAACGGGUGAGUAACACGUAAAGAACCUGCCUCAUAGACUGGGACAACUAUUGGGAACGAUAGCUAAUACCGGAUAACAGUAUUUCUCGCAUGAGAGAUAUUUAAAAGUUGGUUAUGCUAACACUAUGAGAUGGCUUUGCGGUGCAUUAGCUAGUUGGUGGGGUAAAGGCCCACCAAGGCGACGAUGCAUAGCCGACCUGAGAGGGUGAUCGGCCACACUGGGACUGAGACACGGCCCAGACUCCUACGGGAGGCAGCAGUAGGGAAUCUUCCGCAAUGGGCGAAAGCCUGACGGAGCAACGCCGCGUGAGUGAAGAAGGAUUUCGGUUCGUAAAGCUCUGUUGUUAGGGAAGAAUGGAUAUGUAGUAACUAUACAUGUAAGAGACGGUACCUAACCAGAAAGCCACGGCUAACUACGUG
rnacentral:rRNA from 1 species